AUUUCUAUUUAUAUAGUUUAAAAUAAAACAUUACAUUUUCAUUGUAAAAUCAAUUAAUUUUUAUAA
rnacentral:tRNA from 1 species